CAUUCACGGAGAGUUUGAUCCUGGCUCAGGACGAACGCUGGCGGCGUGCUUAACACAUGCAAGUCGAACGAUGAACCGCUUUCGGGCGGGGAUUAGUGGCGAACGGGUGAGUAACACGUGGGCAAUCUGCCCUGCACUCUGGGACAAGCCCUGGAAACGGGGUCUAAUACCGGAUAUGACUGUCCAUCGCAUGGUGGAUGGUGUAAAGCUCCGGCGGUGCAGGAUGAGCCCGCGGCCUAUCAGCUUGUUGGUGAGGUAGUGGCUCACCAAGGCGACGACGGGUAGCCGGCCUGAGAGGGCGACCGGCCACACUGGGACUGAGACACGGCCCAGACUCCUACGGGAGGCAGCAGUGGGGAAUAUUGCACAAUGGGCGAAAGCCUGAUGCAGCGACGCCGCGUGAGGGAUGACGGCC
rnacentral:rRNA from 1 species